GAGUUUGAUUAUGGCUCAGGAUGAACGCUAGCUACAGGCUUAACACAUGCAAGUCGAGGGGCAGCAUGAAUAUUGGCUUGCCAAUAUUUGAUGGCGACCGGCGCACGGGUGAGUAACACGUAUCCAACCUUCCGGUUACUCGGGGAUAGGCUUUCGAAAGAAAGAUUAAUACCCGAUGUUGUGUAUCUUUCUCCUGAUUGAUACGCCAAAGGAUUCCGGUAACCGAUGGGGAUGCGUUCCAUUAGGCAGUUGGCGGGGUAACGGCCCACCAAACCUUCGAUGGAUAGGGGUUCUGAGAGGAAGGUCCCCCACAUUGGAACUGAGACACGGUCCAAACUCCUACGGGAGGCAGCAGUGAGGAAUAUUGGUCAAUGGACGGAAGUCUGAACCAGCCAAGUAGCGUGAAGGAUGACUGCCCUCUGGGUUGUAAACUUCUUUUAUACGGGAAUAAACAUGAGGUAACGGGUACCUUAU
rnacentral:rRNA from 1 species